UGUUGUUGAGCUGAGGAUGGCGUAGAGGCUUUCUUCAUUAUUUUACUACUUUCGAGUUAUUUUAGUUGUCGCUCUGAUAUGUAACACUAGGAGGGGUUACAUUGUUCCUUUUGUUCUCUGAGAGUUUUGAUUUAUUUUACGAAGUUUUUACAUUUGAGACAAAAAAAAUGGUUUUAAUGUGUUUUUGAGUUUCGUUGUUGAUUUAUGUUAUAAUGUUGAUAAUGAUGCAUGUUGAGAAUGUGUAACACCGAUAAUGACAAAAAAUUAAAUGUUUU
rnacentral:lncRNA from 1 species